rnacentral:rRNA from 1 species
AACGCUAGCGGCAGGCUUAAUACAUGCAAGUCGAGGGGCAUCAAGGUACACGAAAGUGUAUUGUUGGCGAACCGGCGGACGGGUGAGUAAUAGGUAGGUAACCUACCUCAUACUGAGGCAUAGCUGGGAGAAAUUCCAGGUAAUUCCUCAUGAGGUUAUAUGACACAUGUGAUAUAAUCAAAGGUAUCGCAAGGUACUGGUAUGAGAUGGGCUUACUGACCAUUAGCUAGUUGGUGAGAUAAGAGCUCACCAAGGCGAAGAUGGUUAGGGGUUUUGAGAGAGAGAUCCCCCACAUUGGAACUGAGAUACGGUCCAGACUCCUACGGGAGGCAGCAGUAGGGAAUAUUGGGCAAUGGGCGGAAGCCUGACCCAGCCAUGCCGCGUGAAGGAAGACGGCCUUAUGGGUUGUAAACUUCUUUACUAUGCGACUAACUAGAUUUACGAGAUAAUUCUAUAGAAUGUAGCAUAGCAAAAAGCACCGGCUAACUCCGUG